rnacentral:rRNA from 1 species
UACGUAGGGUGCAAGCGUUGCCCGGAUUUAUUGGGCGUAAAGGGCGCGUAGGCGGCCCGGCGCGUCCGCGGUGAAAGCUCCCGGCUCAACUGGGAGAGGUCCGCGGAAACGGUCGGGCUGGAGCAAGGUAGGGGGUCGUGGAAUUCCCGGUGUAGUGGUGGAAUGCGUAGAGAUCCGGAGGAACACCAGCGGCGAAGGCGGCAUCCUGGACUGGUCCUGACACUCAUGAGCGAAAGCGUGGGGAGCGAGUCCGG